ensembl:lncRNA
GCAGCAAACAUUUCCUACAGGGAGCUGCCUUGGCUGGGCCCUGGACUUCCCCAGCUCUGCCGGCCCGAGACCCUGAUGUCUUGGGACAGACCUCAGCUUCCGAAGCUCUCUAGAUCCGCCUCGAUGGCCCCAGCUACUGAGUCCCAGGCCUGUGUGUGCUCCUGUCUCCGCUCACAGCUCACUGUGUCCGGCCUGCCCAGCACCAGGGCUGCCUGAGGGAAGAAGAGACCAAGGCUGGCAGGGGGACCUCCCCGGGGAUCCAGAGCUGACUUCAUUGGCUCCCUCGCCCACCCGCAUGGCGCCCUUUGUCACCGGGAAGCCGAGUCUUGAUGUACAAGGAACAGGGUCUUGCUAUGCAUUCCAGGCUGGCCUUGAAUUCAUGGCAUUCCUCCUGCCUCAGCCUCCCCAGCGCUGGGAAUACAGUGCCCAGGACGGGAUCCGUGCAGGCUCGAGGUGAACACGCAACAGGCCACUCAGCAUCUCCCACGUUUCUUUGCAGUGGGAAUUCGGGCUUGACAGCACCGGCCCAGACUUCCUGGUUUAGAGAUCAGUCAGUUCCGGCAGCGACAGGGCUCCAGGUGCCUGUUUCCCUAAAGUGCUCCAAAUGGAUGAGACGUGUGGGACUCUGCGUGAAGGGGCAGGAAAGGGCUGUUUACAUCCACACCUGCUCGGCCCACCUGCCCUACAGACUCACGCUAUCAAAUGUUUUCUAGUUGCUAUGACAAUCAAAUCACAGAGCCAGUAUUUGUUAUUGUUCCAGAGGGAAAAAAAGGAAGGACGGUACUGUGAGGCCCAAGUUCAUGUGUCAGUGGGCAGCUGAGUCACCCUGCCAUGGUCUGCCGAGUCCCAGAGCCAUUUUCCUAGGGUCUGAGACUCACACCUGCCACCCCUCUUCCCCAAGAGGAUGGUCCCCUGUCCGAGUCUUUCAACAAGCCCAGGUGGCAGACACCCCGGCCUGAGGACCACCAGCAGCCUGCAGGUGGGCAGCGAAGUCACCCAUGAGGACUCUGCCCUGCCCCAUGGAGUGGCAACUACCAGGCACUGCUGAGACCUCUUUCCUGAGUAUCUUUAGUUACACUGCUGCAACUGCCUCCAGGUCCUGAAUCCAUUCAAAACAUUUACCUUCCACGGUCAUUUUGACCUUGGGGAAAGACAGACUUUGCAGGGUGCCAGAUGCAGUGGCUAAGUGAGGGGAGGCACACCCUAAUUGCCUUUCUGUCGGAGGGCACUCAUCAGCAGUUUUCACAUCUCAUGAAGACGCUUAGGAAAGAGGACUCUAGAACUGCUCCAGAAAGUGGCCAGAACAGUGGGCUGAGUGUGUUCAAGGGGAAUUAAUGGCAGUGUAUCUUUUCCCAUGAUACAUUUUUGAAAUUGAAACCUCCACCAUGUACCUUGAUCACCUUGUAUUUCAUAGAUGGUUUCUAGAGUUGCCUAGCACUCGGCUGGCUCUGCGAGGGCCAAGCCACUUGAGUUCUCCAAGCCUCUGCCUCCUUGUGCACAACAGAGGGGAAGUAACACCACCUCAACAGAUUGCUCUGGGGAAGAAAGGCAAAAGCGCCAAUCAAGUGUUUACAUGGUACCUAGUUGCUAUGGUUUAUAUCUAGAUGUCCACAAGAGCACAUAGGCGAGGCUUUUGGAAGUUGAUUGUAUCAUGGGUCUUAUAGCUGACUUGCUGUUGGAGGAGGGGCCUGGACAGAAGAGGCGGCUCCCUGUGUGUGCCCAGGAAAGGUUCUACCUCCCUCCGGCUCCUUGCUCAACACCCUCUGCUUCCUGGAUACCUUGAUUCGAGCAGCUGUUCCCCUGCCAGGGCCCUCUUCCAUGCUGUCCUGCCUUGGAGCCAACGGACUACAGACUGAAACCUCUACAAACAUAAGCCAAAAUAAACCUCUGCUCCCACUAGUUGUAGGUGUUGGAUAUGAGAAAGUACUGAAGACACUAGCACGGUGCAAAGCACUCAGUACAUCAAUACAUGCCCACUGAGGUGGUGGCUGAUUGGCGGGACCCUGGGCAAAGGCCUCUGGACGGCUGGAAGGUGAGGCAGAGGGAGCUCCUGCUCCCCCAGAUACACACGGGGCAGGCAGGGGAGGCUGUGCCAAACGCAGCUGUCCCGGGCUUAGUCUGCUUUCUGUUGCUAUCACAAAAUACCUGAGACCAGGUAAUUUAUAAAGAAUGGAAGUUUAUUUGGCUCACAGUUCUGGAGGCUGGAAAGUCCAGAAGCACAGCACUAGGGUCUCCCCAGAGUCCAGUGAGGGCCUCUUACUGCAUACAACACGUGGUGAGGCAGAGCAGCCUCGAGUGGCGUUUCUCUUCCUCUUCUUACAAAGCCACUCAUGCACUGUGGGCUCCUUCUUCUCCUGGUGGCAGCUAAUAUAAUCCUCCAAACACCUUAACAUAUGGAUUUGAGGACUAAGUUUCCAACACACGAGCUCAGCCAUGGUGACCCCCUUCCACCUCCACAAACUUGACCUGAGAGGCUUCCAUGGCUCAGACCCGGAAGGGAAGCAGACAAGAGAUCCAGCAGUGAGCAGGGCGGGAGGACAAGGAGAGGCUUUGAGGCCCUCUGGGAGGAUCCUGAAGCGGUGCCUAGGACACCCAGGUGUGGGGCAGGUGCCUCGGGCUCCUAGUUACCCCUCACACCAGGGCUGUGCCAGGGGCACCUUCUGAGGACAGCUGGCUUUCUGGGUCGACUUCCCUGGAGAAAGGGUGUGGAUGGGCGUGGCUCGGGCCGAGGGGCUAAGCCAGAUCGCUGGGGUUUAUGCCCAGGGUGUGGUGUGAGCCAUUCAUGACUGGGAGGCUUCUAACCAUUUCUAGACCUACACGUGGAAAGCCAGCCCCGGGAAAGGCCUGACCGCCAUGGG